GGAGAGAUAGUUUAAGGUUUAAGAUGAGUAUUUGAAAAGUAUUAGAUACGUGCUAUUUUGUGUGUUUUCUCCA
rnacentral:tRNA from 1 species